GGCCGACGCUGCCGCUGGUAAAGAUUCCGGAGCUGCCAAAGUCACCCAAGCUGACCCCACAGGAGAAGCUGAAGCUGAGGAUGCAGAAGGCGCUGAACAGGCAAUUUAAAGCCGACAAAAAGGCGGCGCAGGAGAAGAUGCUGCAGCAGGAACACGAGAGACAGG